rnacentral:rRNA from 1 species
AUUGAACGCUGGCGGCAGGCCUAACACAUGCAAGUCGAGCGGAUGAAGGGAGCUUGCUCCUGGAUUCAGCGGCGGACGGGUGAGUAAUGCCUAGGAAUCUGUCUGGUAGUGGGGGAUAACGUCCGGAAACGGGCGCUAAUACCGCAUACGUCCUGAGGGAGAAAGUGGGGGAUCUUCGGACCUCACGCUAUCAGAUGAGCCUAGGUCGGAUUAGCUAGUUGGUGGGGUAAAGGCCUACCAAGGCGACGAUCCGUAACUGGUCUGAGAGGAUGAUCAGUCACACUGGAACUGAGACACGGUCCAGACUCCUACGGGAGGCAGCAGUGGGGAAUAUUGGACAAUGGGCGAAAGCCUGAUCCGGCCAUGACGCGUGUGUGAAGAAGGUCUUCGGAUUGUAAAGCACUUUAAGUUGGGAGGAAGGGCAGUAAGUUAAUACCUUGCUGUUUUGACGUUACCAACAGAAUAAGCACCGGCUAACUUCGUG